UGAGAGAGGCAUCAUUACACGUUUUACCUCAGAGAGACAUAGAGACGGGGAGAGAGAGGUCUCCAUACUAAAUAAUACUGUUCCUGAGAGAGGCAUCAUUACACGUUUUACCUCAGAGAGACAUAGAGACGGGGAGAGAGAGGUCUCCAUACUAAAUAAUACUGGCCCUGAGAGCUGCAUCAUUACACGUUUUACCUCAGAGAGACAUAGAGACGGGGAGAGAGAGGUCUCCAUACUAAAUAAUACUGGCCCUGAGAGAGGCAUCAUUACACGUUUUACCUCAGAGAGACACAGAGACGGGGAGAGAGAGGUCGGUCUCCA